rnacentral:rRNA from 1 species
UACGUAGGGAGCGAGCGUUGUCCGGAAUCAUUGGGCGUAAAGAGCUCGUAGGCGGCUUGGUAAGUCGGAUGUGAAACCUCCAGGCUCAACCUGGAGUCGCCAUCCGAUACUGCCAUAGCUAGAGUCCGGUAGGGGCCCACGGAACUCCUGGUGUGAGCCGGUGAAAUCGCGCAGAGUAUACAGGAAGAACACCGGUGGCGAAGGGCGGUGGGCUGGGCCGGCACUGACGCUGAGGAGCGAAAGCGUGGGGAGCGAACAGG